AUUGAACGCUGGCGGCAGGCCUAACACAUGCAAGUCGAGCGGAGCGGCGGACGGGUGAGUAAUGCCUAGGCCUCUGACUGGUAGUGGUGGAUAACGUCCGGUCACGGGCGCUAUUACCGCAUCCUAUCAGAUGCGCCUCGUUCGGAUUAGCUAGUUGGUGGGGUAAAGCCCUACCACGGCGACGAUCCGUAACUGGUCUGAGAGGAUGAUCAGUCACACUGGAACUGAGACACGGUCCAGACUCCUACGGGAGGCAGCAGUGGGGAAGAUUGGACAAUGGGCGAAAGCCUGAUCCAGCCAUGCCGCGUGUGGGAAUAAGGUCUUCGGAUUGUAAAGCACUUUAAGUUGGGAGGCGUUACCAACAGAAUAAGCACCGGCUAACUUCGUGCCAGCAGCCGCGGUAAUUC
rnacentral:rRNA from 1 species